rnacentral:rRNA from 1 species
GAUGAACGCUGGCGGCGUGCCUAAUACAUGCAAGUCGAGCGAACGGACGAGAAGCUUGCUUCUCUGAUGUUAGCGGCGGACGGGUGAGUAACACGUGGAUAACCUACCUAUAAGACUGGGAUAACUUCGGGAAACCGGAGCUAAUACCGGAUAAUAUUUUGAACCGCAUGGUUCAAAAGUGAAAGACGGUCUUGCUGUCACUUAUAGAUGGAUCCGCGCUGCAUUAGCUAGUUGGUAAGGUAACGGCUUACCAAGGCAACGAUGCAUAGCCGACCUGAGAGGGUGAUCGGCCACACUGGAACUGAGACACGGUCCAGACUCCUACGGGAGGCAGCAGUAGGGAAUCUUCCGCAAUGGGCGAAAGCCUGACGGAGCAACGCCGCGUGAGUGAUGAAGGUCUUCGGAUCGUAAAACUCUGUUAUUAGGGAAGAACAUAUGUGUAAGUAACUGUGCACAUCUUGACGGUACCUAAUCAGAAAGCCACGGCUAACUACGUGCCAGCAGCCGCGGUAAUACGUAGGUGGCAAGCGUUAUCCGGAAUUAUUGGGCGUAAAGCGCGCGUAGGCGGUUUUUUAAGUCUGAUGUGAAAGCCCACGGCUCAACCGUGGAGGGUCAUUGGAAACUGGAAAACUUGAGUGCAGAAGAGGAAAGUGGAAUUCCAUGUGUAGCGGCGAAAUGCGCAGAGAUAUGGAGGAACACCAGUGGCGAAGGCGACUUUCUGGUCUGUAACUGACGCUGAUGUGCGAAAGCGUGGGGAUCAAACAGGAUUAGAUACCCUGGUAGUCCACGCCGUAAACGAUGAGUGCUAAGUGUUAGGGGGUUUCCGCCCCUUAGUGCUGCAGCUAACGCAUUAAGCACUCCGCCUGGGGAGUACGACCGCAAGGUUGAAACUCAAAGGAAUUGACGGGGACCCGCACAAGCGGUGGAGCAUGUGGUUUAAUUCGAAGCAACGCGAAGAACCUUACCAAAUCUUGACAUCCUUUGACAACUCUAGAGAUAGAGCUUUCCCCUUCGGGGGACAAAGUGACAGGUGGUGCAUGGUUGUCGUCAGCUCGUGUCGUGAGAUGUUGGGUUAAGUCCCGCAACGAGCGCAACCCUUAAGCUUAGUUGCCAUCAUUAAGUUGGGCACUCUAAGUUGACUGCCGGUGACAAACCGGAGGAAGGUGGGGAUGACGUCAAAUCAUCAUACCCCUUAUGAUUUGGGCUACACACGUGCUACAAUGGACAAUACAAAGGGCAGCGAAACCGCGAGGUCAAGCAAAUCCCAUAAAGUUGUUCUCAGUUCGGAUUGUAGUCUGCAACUCGACUACAUGAAGCUGGAAUCGCUAGUAAUCGUAGAUCAGCAUGCUACGGUGAAUACGUUCCCGGGUCU